rnacentral:rRNA from 1 species
UGGUGAACCAGCGGAGGGAUCAUUACCGAGUUUACAACUCCCAAACCCCUGUGAACAUACCACUUGUUGCCUCGGCGGAUCAGCCCGCUCCCGGUAAAACGGGACGGCCCGCCAGAGGACCCCUAAACUCUGUUUCUAUAUGUAACUUCUGAGUAAAACCAUAAAUAAAUCAAAACUUUCAACAACGGAUCUCUUGGUUCUGGCAUCGAUGAAGAACGCAGCAAAAUGCGAUAAGUAAUGUGAAUUGCAGAAUUCAGUGAAUCAUCGAAUCUUUGAACGCACAUUGCGCCCGCCAGUAUUCUGGCGGGCAUGCCUGUUCGAGCGUCAUUUCAACCCUCAAGCACAGCUUGGUGUUGGGACUCGCGUUAAUUCGCGUUCCCCAAAUUGAUUGGCGGUCACGUCGAGCUUCCAUAGCGUAGUAGUAAAACCCUCGUUACUGGUAAUCGUCGCGGCCACGCCGUUAAACCCCAACUUCUGAAUGUUGACCUCGGAUCAGGUAGGAAUACCCGCUGAACUUAAGCAUAUC